rnacentral:rRNA from 1 species
UACGGGGGGAGCAAGCGUUGUUCGGAUUUACUGGGCGUAAAGAGCGUGUAGGCGGCCAGGUAGGUCUGCUGUGAAAACUCGAGGCUUAACCUCGAGCUGUCGGCGGAAACCAUCUGGCUAGAGUCCGGAAGAGGAGAAUGGAAUUCCCGGUGUAGCGGUGAAAUGCGCAGAUAUCGGGAAGAACACCCGUGGCGAAGGCGGUUCUCUGGGACGGUACUGACGCUGAGACGCGAAAGCGUGGGGAGCGAACAGG